AGAGUUUGAUCAUGGCUCAGGAUGAACGCUAGCGGCAGGCCUAAUACAUGCAAGUCGAACGGGAUCAGGGAGCUUGCUCCCUGUGAGAGUGGCGCACGGGUGCGUAACACGUAUGCAACCUACCUUCAACUGGGGGAUAGCCUUCCGAAAGGAAGAUUAAUACCGCAUAACAUAAUUGAAUGGCAUCAUUUGAUUAUCAAACGUCAGGGUUGAAGAUGGGCAUGCGUCCGAUUAGCUAGUUGGUGUGGUAACGGCACACCAAGGCGACGAUCGGUAGGGGAUCUGAGAGGAUGACCCCCCACACUGGUACUGAGACACGGACCAGACUCCUACGGGAGGCAGCAGUAAGGAAUAUUGGUCAAUGGACGCAAGUCUGAACCAGCCAUGCCGCGUGCAGGAAGACGGUCCUCUGGAUUGUAAACUGCUUUUGUUAGGGAAGAAACCCUCGGAUGCGUCCGGGGCUGACGGUACCUAAAGAAUAAGGAUCGGCUAACUCCGUGCCAGCAGCCGCGGUAAUACGGAGGAUCCAAGCGUUAUCCGGAUUUAUUGGGUUUAAAGGGUGCGUAGGCGGCGUUGUAAGUCAGUGGUGAAAGUUUGCAGCUUAACUGUAAAAUUGCCAUUGAUACUGCAGUGCUUGAGUACUGAUGAGGUGGGCGGAAUGUGUCAUGUAGCGGUGAAAUGCAUAGAUAUGACACAGAACACCGAUUGCGAAGGCAGCUCACUAAACUGUAACUGACGCUGAGGCACGAAAGCGUGGGGAUCAAACAGGAUUAGAUACCCUGGUAGUCCACGCCCUAAACGAUGAUUACUCGAUGUUAGCGAUAUACAGUUAGCGUCAAAGCGAAAGCGUUAAGUAAUCCACCUGGGGAGUACGCCGGCAACGGUGAAACUCAAAGGGAAUUGACGGGGGCCCGCACAAGCGGAGGAGCAUGUGGUUUAAUUCGAUGAUACGCGAGGAACCUUACCCGGGCUUGAAAGUUGGUGAAUGAUACAGAAAUUUUAUCAGUCCGCAAGGACACGAAACUAGGUGCUGCAUGGCUGUCGUCAGCUCGUGCCGUGAGGUGUUGGGUUAAGUCCCGCAACGAGCGCAACCCCUAUGUUUAGUUGCCAGCACGUAAUGGUGGGGACUCUAAACAGACUGCCUACGCAAGUAGAGAGGAAGGAGGGGACGACGUCAAGUCAUCAUGGCCCUUACGUCCGGGGCUACACACGUGCUACAAUGGUCGAUACAGAGGGCAGCAAGCUAGCAAUAGCAAGCAAAUCUCAAAAAGUCGAUCACAGUUCGGAUUGGGGUCUGCAACUCGACCCCAUGAAGUUGGAUUCGCUAGUAAUCGCAUAUCAGCAAUGAUGCGGUGAAUACGUUCCCGGGCCUUGUACACACCGCCCGUCAAGCCAUGAAAGCUGGGGGAACCUGAAGUCUGUCACCACAAGGAGCGGCCUAGGGUAAAACCGGUAAUUGGGGCUAAGUCGUAACAAGGUAGCCGUA
rnacentral:rRNA from 1 species